UACGUAGGGUGCGAGCGUUAAUCGGAAUAAUUGGGCGUAAAGGGUGCGUAGGUGGUUACGUAAGAUGGAUGUGAAAUCCUUGGGCUAAACCUAAGAAUUGCAUACAAGACUGCGUAGCUUGAGUAUAUUAGAGGGGGGUAGAAUUCCAUGUGUAGCAGUGAAAUGCGUAGAGAUGUGGAGGAAUACCGAUGGCGAAGGCAGCCCCCUGGAAUGUAACUGACACUGAGGCACGAAAGCGUGGGGAGCAAACAGG
rnacentral:rRNA from 1 species